GACAGAGGAGGCAAGCGUUGUUCGGAAUCAUUGGGCUUAAAGGGCGUGUAGGCGGUCCGCUAAGUCUGAUGUGAAAGCCCGGGGCUCACCCCCGGAAGUGCAUUGGAAACUGGCGGACUCGAGUCCCGGAGAGGAGAGUGGAAUUCCUGGUGUAGCGGUGAAAUGCGUAGAUAUCAGGAGGAACACCGGUGGCGAAGGCGGCUCUCUGGACGGUGACUGACGCUGAGACGCGAAAGCGUGGGGAGCAAACAGG
rnacentral:rRNA from 1 species